rnacentral:sRNA from 1 species
UUGCCCUGUGGAUGUGCUGGAUGUUCCCGAGGGCACCUUGCCUGACAAACAGAGCACUGAGCAAGCCAUACAGUUGUUGGAAAAGAUGAAAACGUCAGCCAGUCCUUUCUUCCUGGCCGUUGGGUAUCAUAAGCCACACAUCCCCUUCAGAUACCCCAAGGAAUUUCAGAAGUUAUAUCCCUUGGAGAACAUCACCCUGGCCCCCGAUCCUGAGGUCCCUGAUGGCCUACCCCCUGUGGCCUACAACCCCUGGAUGGACAUCAGGCAACGGGAAGACGUCCAAGCCUUAAACAUCAGUGUGCCGUAUGGCCCAAUUCCUGUGGACUUUCAGAACCCUGCCCUUCUCUUACCAUAUGAAUGCUGUGGCAGGCAAGCUAUAGUGGUUGGAAGAUGGCAGUGUUUUCAAAGUGUGCAUCCUGGACUACCUGCCUUAGAAUUUCUGGGAGGGCUUGUUGGAAAUGCAAAGUCUUGGCCCACUCAGAUUUACACAGUUGGAAGCUGGAGGUGGGACUUGACCUGACAACCAACAUUUCUUUA